CCUAGUUUCCACUCUUCCAGCUCUGUGGCCGUAGGCAGUGGCCCCAAUUCCUUUGCUUGAGUAGAAUGAGCAGAAAGAGUAUCAUGGCAGCACUUUCGUUGGGAGGCUUGUACAAAGUGAUAGCUCAUGAAGCACCUCAAAUGUGGCAGGUAUAUUUUAUCAAUCCUUUUGUCACUCCAAGGAGACUUCAGAAAAAUGGUUGGCCUCUAAUGGCCUUUGCUCUGCAAUUGUUCCUAGUAGGAUGGACUGCCUACAGGGGUGUCACAACAAACCUAUGCCUUGCUAUUGUUUAUCCUCUCUGCAGACGAGGGACUCAGUGAGGGCACAGUUUUCUAGACUGGGAACAUGCUUGCAGAGAGGGAUUUGUCAUCAGGCAGAGCCAGAGGGGAAGUUCAGAGAAAGACGAGCUGUUGUUCUCAUGAGUCAGGGGCCUUCAGCUCCAGGCCAGCAGCCAGCCUGGCCCUGGCAGCUCCUGCUGCCCACCUGGCAUGGCCAGAGGCCUGAAGGUGCUCAGCGCGCUUAGUCAUCCCAGGUACAUUUCUUCCCAGCCUUCCAUGUACACGUUUGAUGGUCUUGCCUAGUUACCGUGGACAGAACGGCCCCACGUCCCUGACAGCACUCACUCCCCUGCACCAGCCUUCCGAAGGCGGCAGUAUUACCUCUUUGACUUCGCACAAAGCGAAGCUCCCAGAGGUCGACAAGCUGAGACUACACGCGGUGAGAAGAUGGCAGAGAAGGUCUUCAGCUUGACCCUGACUGCAGAGCCGAAGUCCUGCACGCACGCUUGACAGGACAGGAGGGCGAGGCAUGAGUUAAGUCACUUGUGCUGCAAUGUGGUACAAUGGGGACCUCAGGGGACAGACAGGGAUGACCGCUGACACCUGCCCUCUGAAAACUGACUGGCAGCCAGGCUCCAGGAUGGGAGAAAAGGAAUCAGCCCAACAGAAGAACACUUUUUUACUGAUUGAAAGCUAUGAAUUCCAAAUUAAUGAAGUUAACGAAAGGAUUGCCUGGGUGAGCGUGAGCACGCUGAAGGCCCACUGC